GAUGCAACAGCAAGAGGCUGAGAAGGAGCAGCAGACCAGGGAGUUACUGGAAAAGAGGAUGCAGGCGAUCAAGUCACUGAAAUCUAACAUAGAAGCCACACAGGAGAGCUUACGGGUUCGACAAAGCAGAGUGAACGCAAAUGCCCAGAAGACAAAACAGCAACAGAGUGAGAUGAGACAAUCUCUGCAGGCUCAAGGCAUCAACAGUACCAAGCACAUGUACCAACAGAAACAACUAGAGAGGCUAAAGCAACAACAGGCGUAAGUCUUCUAUACCCCCCCCUCCUCUCCUCCUAACCCACGUGCAUGUCCUCCACUCCCACUCCAUGCAGCACUGUGUGGGUGUUUUCUCUUACUGUGUGCUAAGGAAAAUAUGACCCCAUUUCACUAUAAUGCAGAGCUGUUGAUUUGCUCUUCUUAGGGAAUUUGAGGAGAAGCAAAAGUCAAACAGGGUGGCGAUUGUGGCAAAGAUUCUUCAGGAGGAGCAGCUGUUAAAGACCAGAAAGAGUCAGCAGGUACUGCUGCCUAAGCCCCCCGUCACUGACAAGUUCCUUUCUUUGGAGAGGGCGAGAGAGAAGCUCUGGCACUCCCUGAACCCCAGCCCACCAUCAUUCACAGAGGAGAGGAUAAUUGUGAGUGGUUCAUAACAAGUGUGGCAGUCGUGAAAUCAAUAUGAAGAGAUCUGAGCAGCUACGAGCCAAUGCGUGUCUUUUUCAGCAAUAUAGAGAGUUUAGUGACAUCAGCGCCACAUCAUCAACUUCCUUUGACAUCGAGGACCUGGAGGAAGCCACGCUCCAGGAAGUGGACCACCAAAGCUUUCCUGACAGUCUUGCUGAGCCUGAGUUUUCUGGGCUUUGGGAGCAGAACUCCAAGAAGCUCUUGGAUGAGAGGAAUACAUUAAACCUGAGAGGCAUAAAUCAGGAAGAGCCUGCAGUGCAGAGUGGAAAGAUCCACAAGUCUACUAAGAAAGCUCAUGGAACAGAGUUGGCGGGGGCUCCGUUCAUCAGCAAGCCUGGUGUCAUCCUGUUUAAGGUACCACAACUUGUGACUCCAGCACUUCCUCACCCUUGCAAGUAUAAAAACCCCUGGGAACAAGGAUGGACAGUGUUUUUAUUAUUUAGCUUUUGCUGGUAGAUUUCUGUAGCAAGUGAAUGCAAAUGCUUCACACAUUUGAAAUGUCUGUUUUUAGGACUUUGAAGUGGGCAAAAUGUAUAAGAAGAAAAUCGUCCUGACGAACACCAGCCACGUGACUAACUACUGCAAGCUGCUCGGGCUGUCUGCGCAGCUGAAGGAUUUUAUUUCUAUCAAGUAAGAUUUCCACAUUGUCAGAAUCUGUAAUCAUGCCUUACUAAACUGCAAAUGAACCGAGAGCAUCAACGCAUCCAGCUGCAUGUUUAGUACUGCACUACACUGCAGAUAAAACGUUAAGUUAAACUCAAG
rnacentral:lncRNA from 1 species